rnacentral:tRNA from 1 species
GGAGUGAUGGCCGAGUCGGUCGAAGGCGCUCGCCUGCUAAGCGAGUAUACGGCUAAACCGUAUCGAGGGUUCGAAUCCCUCUCACUCCGCCA